UUCCUCUUCAUCUUCUAUACUUGGAUGAUUAAAAAUAAUUGAAUCUCACUACUAAGUGAACCAGACAUAAGGAAACCACACUUCAAUUCAUGAAAGCAUAUGCAUUCAUUUCUAAAGUUAAAAUUUUGGUCGAAUAAUGUAUAGAUUUGUCAAAAUAAAAAUGACUUCCAUUUUAUAUAACGUCAUAAGCCUAGAAUUUCACAAUUAUAAGAGAAGCUUUAUAUAAAUGACAAAAACUAGGAAAUGCAUUUUUCACAUUUU
rnacentral:lncRNA from 10 species